GGAAAACUCAACCACAAAGGGAUACUGGGGACCAUCCAUAUCCCACAAAUUGAAAAAGAAUCUUCGAGCUUGGUGGCUUUGGUGAGAUUAUGGCCAGCCAUGCAAGAGAGCACGGUGUGUCAACACAGUUGAUGUCUGAGCUGUGGCUACGAGUCUGCUUUUGGUAUCUCAGUUAUGGAAGAUCAAGUUGUUGUAGGUCCUUGAGAA
rnacentral:misc_RNA from 1 species